GAUGGGUCGAAGCCCAGAGGGCUGUGGGCGGAAGUGGGGAAGUUUGUGGCGUGACUGUGUUAUGAAUUUUUGGAGAAACACCACUAAAGCGAUGUGUCUUUUCCAGUGCAUGAUAUCAAGGUACACACUUCCCAGAUAUUCCAAUAUGCCUCCUAGAAAAGCAUGCCCUUCUGAGUGGAAAUGAUACCGUUACUCUAAUGAUGCAGUCCAUGCUCUAAGCAUCAUUUUUUUGACAGUGACAUCAUGUUAAUCUUUCUUUCAGAAAAGUACUAUGUCAUUUCAUGUUAUUGUUAAACUUUCCCUGUAUUCUGUACUUUUGCAAUUCAUUUUUUGAUAAAAGAGGAAGAUCUUAUAUCUGUCACAUUUCGUCUGUUACAAUUGGCCCAUUGUUGUAGCUUAUCAAGACCUUUUGGAUUUGAUGGUGUUACUUAUCGCAUUCACUGUCCUUUCCAAUGUAAUUGUCACCCAUAAAGUUGAUAUGUCUAUCCAUAAUACAAAAAGGGAGCAGGAAUUGUUGUUGUUGUUGUUUGUUUUUUUGAGAUGGAGUCUC